UACGAAGGGGGCUAGCGUUGCUCGGAAUCACUGGGCGUAAAGCGCACGUAGGCGGCUUUUUAAGUCAGGGGUGAAAUCCUGGAGCUCAACUCCAGAACUGCCUUUGAUACUGGUGAGCUUGAGUCCGGAAGAGGUGAGUGGAACUGCGAGUGUAGAGGUGAAAUUCGUAGAUAUUCGCAAGAACACCAGUGGCGAAGGCGGCUCACUGGUCCGGUACUGACGCUGAGGUGCGAAAGCGUGGGGAGCAAACAGG
rnacentral:rRNA from 1 species